AGCAGCCGCGGUAAUUCCAGCUCCAAUAGCGUAUAUUAAAGUUGUUGCAGUUAAAAAGCUCGUAGUUGAAUUUCGGGGUUAGUAGGUUGGUCAUGCCUCUGGUAUGUACUGGUCUCACUGAUUCCUCCUUCCUGAUGAGCCGUAAUGCCAUUAAUUUGGUGUUGCGGGGAAUUUGGACUGUUACUUUGAAAAAAUUAGAGUGUUUAAAGCAAGCUAACGCUUGAAUACAUUAGCAUGGAAUAAUGAAAUAGGACGUUCGAUCCUAUUUUGUUGGUUUCUAGGAUUGACGUGAUGAUUAAUAGGGAUAGUUGGGGGCAUUAGUAUUCAAUUGUCAGAGGUGAAAUUCUUGGAUUUAUUGAAGACUAACUACUGCGAAAGCAUUUGCCAAGGAUGUUUUCAUUAAUCAAGAACGAAAGUUAGGGGAUCGAAGACGAUCAGAUACCGUCGUAGUCUUAACCAUAAACUAUGCCGACUAGGGAUCGGAUGAUGUUAAUUUUUUUAAUUGUACUCAUUCGGCGUA
rnacentral:rRNA from 1 species